CACGUAGGGGGCAAGCGUUGUCCGGAUUCAUUGGGCGUAAAGAGCUCGUAGGCGGUUCGAUAAGUCGGGUGUGAAACCUCCAGGCUCAACCUGGAGACGCCACCCGAUACUGUCGUGACUAGAGUCCAGUAGGGGAGCGUGGAAUUCCUGGUGUAGCGGUGAAAUGCGCAGAUAUCGGGAGGAACACCAGUAGCGAAGGCGGCUCGCUGGGCCACACCUGACGCUGAGACGCGAAAGCUAGGGGAGCGAACAGG
rnacentral:rRNA from 1 species